UCUCAUUUAGUCUAUCCAAUUGCAUGGUGCCAUGCAACCCAAAUGGACCAUGCCGGGUCGGGUCAAGUACUAACCCGAAAUAGUUAUGGACUUAGACACCUUAUCCAACAGUCUCCCACUUGGAUAAGUCUAAUAACUAUAACUCCAGUACUUCAGGAACCGACCGGCAAUCGUAGCUCUUUCAAGGUCUCUCGGAACUGAGAAGAUGUUGAUACGCCAUUUAAGAUAAGUGAUCAUAUAAUCCUCUGUUCUAGAUAUCAGCCGGACAAAUACAUGGAACAAUGUCUUACUUAUUGUCCAGCAGUUUGUUUCCCGAUUUCCGAUUUGUUUGACAAAGAACUUAAUUGAACACAUCAACUUAGUUCUGACCGGGCCCGGUACAUAGGUCAAAACAAAAUCAUCGAGGGGCCCAGAUAUCAGCUUCUAAUCCAAGAAGGAACAGAUAAACUUCGACUCAUAUGUUUGUUCUACCACACAUUGAAUUAUACACAAGAGCGCGAUUUAUAACAUUGAGUUACCAAUUCGUUUUCGUACAGUCAAUGCAUAACCAACUUGUAAGUAACAAAUCAUAUCUCUAGGUUUGAAGACUUAUAUGAUAUUACCGUCUCACGAUCACUCGAGAUAGAAUUCCAUGAAGUGAUUCCAGUGAGCGUGGGUUGAGUCCAAUGCUCAGAACUUAUGAGCACUCAUGAUUGUUGUAGCCUUGUCCAACACCUUAGACCUCUACAACCCAUCAUGACAGUCUUGAUUCAUACCUACUUCCGACAUAUGACCGACUGUGGAGGUUUGAAUAAUAUGUUACACCAAACAAAAUUAUUCUGGAAGUCAAAACAUGCAAAAGAAAUAUAGUAAACGAUUGACAAGAGAUAGCAACACUUUACUCAUAAAUAAAACACCUUUUAUUCAUCAUCAAAUGUCAAUUACACUUUACAAAUUUCUGGGUUAUCUAACUACUAAAACUUAUAUCAUCCUUCAGCCCUAUGCUCCGAGCAUGCUGGAGAUGCUUAACCCUACUCAGUCCCUUCGUGAGGGGAUCUGCUGGGUUCUCAUCCGAUGAUACCCUCUUUGCCACGAGGAGUCCUUCUUCGAUCCGAUGUCUAAUGAAAUGGUAUUUUCUGUCGAUGUGUCUGGAUCUCCCAUGAUCCCUUGGUUCCUUGGCUAAGGCAACAGCACUUUCACUAUCACAGAAAAUUUCCAUUGGCUCUUUAAUAGCUGGUACAACUCCAAGGUCUCCAAUGAAGUUCUUCAGCCAUAUCGCCUCCUUUGCUGCUUCGCUAGCUGCAAUAUACUCUGAUUCACAAGUAGAAUCUGCCACUGUCUCUUGCUUGGAACUCUUCCAAGAAAUUGCUCCUCCGUUUAGGGUAAAGACCCAGCCCGACUGAGAGCGGAAAUUAUCCCUAUCAGUCUGGAAGCUAGCAUCACUAUACCCUACAACUCUCAAGUCAUCACUCCCACCGAGGGUAAGGACCCAGUCCUUAGUCCUCCGUAGGUACUUGAGGAUAUUCUUUACCGCAGUCCAGUGUGCCUUGCCAGGGUUCGCCUGAUACCUGCUAACCAUGCUCAAGGCAAAAGCUACAUCGGGUCGAGUACACGUCAUAGCAUACAUGAUCGAUCCUACAGCCGAAGCGUAAGGUGUUCGACUCAUUUCUGCUAUCUCAGCCUCAGUGCUAGGGCUUUGUGUCUUACUCAAUCUGGUGUUACUCUGGAUGGGUAACUCUCCUUUCUUGGAAUCCUGCAUGCUGAAUCUCUUCAGCACCUUAUCCAAGUAGGUACUCUGACUAAGUCCAAUUAGUCUUUUACUCCGAUCUCUCAAGAUUCUUAUCCCUAGAAUAUAGGCAGCUUCACCAAGGUCCUUCAUAGCGAAACACUUCCCAAGCCAGGACUUUACUUCCUGCAGGGUUGGAAUGUCGUUUCCUAUGAGUAGUAUGUCAUCCACAUACAAUACCAAAAAGCUAACUAUACUCCCACUAGCCUUGACAUACACACAAGAUUCAUCUUCACUCCUAGAAAAGCCAAAUUCCUUGACCUUUUCAUCAAAGCAAAGAUUCCAUCUGCGAGGUGCUUGCUUCAAUCCAUAAAUGGAUUUCUCAAGCUUACACACUCUAUUAGGGUACUCGUUGCUGACAAAACCCUCUGGCUGACUCAUGUAAACAUCUUCAGCCAACUUUCCAUUAAGGAAAGCGGUUUUGACAUCCAUCUGCCAUAUUUCAUAGUCAUGAAAUGCAGCUAUGGCUAACAGAACCCGAAUAGACUUAAUCUUGGCUACCGGAGAAAAGGUCUCAUCAUAAUCCACUCCAGGAAUUUGAGAGAAGCCCUUUGCAACCAGUCUAGCCUUAUAAGUGUGUACUUUACCAUCCAUGUCGGUCUUCUUCUUGAAGACCCAUUUGCACCCUACUGUCUUACGACCUGGUACAUUUUCAACCAAGUUCCAAACUUGAUUGUCAUACAUGGAUUGUAUCUCGCUAUCCAUAGCCUCUUUCCAUUUAGCAGACUCGGGGCCUGCCAUGGCUUCCUCGUAGCUGUUAGGGUCAUCUUGACUUACUAGUGUCUCAUCACUAAUAAGUGUCUCACCUUCUGCAGUAAUAUGGAAUCCAUAGUAAUGCUCAGGUGCACUCCUAACUCUCGUGGAACGUCUCAGAGGUACAGAUUUGUCAAUUGGCUCAACAGGAGUUUCCUCCUCAAGUUGAGGGCUAGAGUUUGAAGUUCCUUCACCGCUUGAUUCUUGAAUUUCUUCAAGAUCAAUUUGCCUCCCACUGUCUCCUUGGCUUAUAAACUCUCUUUCUCGAAAGACUCCUCUUCUUGCUACAAAGACCACAUUGUCACUAGGUCUGUAGAAGAGGUAACCAAAGGAUCGCUGUGGGUAACCGAUGAAAAUACACCUCUCGCUUCGAGGUUCGAGCUUAUCAUGAGUCUCGCGUCUCACGAAAGCCUCGCAACCCCAAAUCUUGAUGUGGUCUAGUUUAGGUACUUUACCAGUCCACAUCUCGUGAGGAGUUUUGGCAACUUUCUUUGUAGGGACUAGAUUAAGAAUAUGGGCGGCAGUCUCUAAGGCAUACCCCCAGAAUGAGAUUGGUAGCGUAGCUCGACUCAUCAUGGAACGAACCAUAUCUAACAAGGUUCGAUUACGCCUCUCAGCCACACCAUUCAACUGUGGUGUCCUGGGAGGUGUCAAUUGUGAGACUAUCCCACAUUCCCUUAGAUAGUCGAGGAACUCUGAACUAAGAUACUCACCACCACGAUCGGAUCGAAGCAUCUUAAUGUUCCUGCCCAAUUGAUUCUCGACUUCCUGUUUAAAUUCCUUAAACCUCUCGAAAGUCUCUGACUUAUGCUUGAUCAAGUAGACAUAUCCAUAUCUACUAUAAUCAUCAGUAAAAGUCAAAUAAUAACGAUUAGCAUCCCUUGUGGCAUGUUUGAAUGGUCCACACACAUCCGUGUGUAUAAGGUCCAACAAACCUUCACCCCUCUCACACGAACCUGUGAAGGGUGACUUUGUCAUUUUUCCAAGUAAGCAUGAUUCGCAACUAUCAUCUGACUUUAGGUCAAACGACUCCAAGACUCCAUCCUUUUGGAGUUGGCCUAUGCGUUUCUUGCUUAUAUGUCCAAGACGACAAUGCCAUAAAGAUGCUUUAUCCAAGUUAUUAUUAGUAGAAUCAAUACACAAAACAUUAUUUCCCAAGUUAUCUACAACAGAUACAGCUUCAUACACACCAUCACAAGGUAAUGCUUUAAAAUAAAAGACAUUAUUAUAGAAAACAUCUAUAGAACCAACUUCAUUAUUAAAUGAAAAGGUAAACCCUUGUUUGUACAAAGCAUGAAAGGAAAUAAUAUUUCUUGCCAUUCCUGGCGAAUAACAACACUUAUUCAAAUCUAAACUAAACCCACUACUUAGCGAUAAAGUAUAAACUCCAAUCUUGGUAACAGGUAUAGCUUUCCUAUUCCCCAUGAUCAAGUUUAUCCUUCCUUGCUCCACAUCCUCACUUCUUCUUAGUCCCUGCAAGUCACAACAAAUGUGAAUACCACACCCGGUAUCAAGGACCCAAGAAUUAGAAUGGGGUGAGUUAUUAGAAAUGAUAGUGUAAAUACCUGCAUGGUUGGGUUUAACUUUCCCAUCCUUCACAUCUUGCUGGUAUUUUGGGCAGUUCCGCUUCCAAUGAGCUUUUUCAUGGCAAUAGAAGCAUUCAGCCUCUUUUGGGUCAGAAGAAGGAGUAAUGAAACCUUUCUUGGUUCCACUUGAAGAAGAGCCAUCAAGGGUCCGAACCUUGGUACCCUUAGAAGAGCUCUUUCUCUUCCUCCCUCGACUUUUCCCGAUUGCCAAAACCGGAGUAGAGUUUUGAGUAGGAGUGAUAGCAACCGACUUCCCCUUAAGACCUGAUUCUGCGGUCUUGAGAAGUCCCUGAAGUUUGCUGAGGGUGACUUCUUCCUUGUUCAUGUGAUAUGUCAUGCGGAAUUGAUCAUAGCACGAUGGUAAGGAAUGCAAAAUAAUAUCUAUUGCAAGAUCCUCCGGGAAGUUCACAUUAAGCUUCAGCAAACGAUCCACAUACCUUUGCAUUUUCUGCAUGUGGCUCGUGACGGAUUCCCCGUCCUUCAUCAUGGUUGUUAUCAUGGAGCAGAUGAUUUCAUACCUCUCUUGUCUUGCACUUUGAUGGUAUCUUUCCAUCAAAUCUUGGUGCAUUUCAUAAGGGUAGAAAUCCUCAUAAGACUUUUGGAGUUCCGCUGUCAUCGUGGCCAUCAUGAUGCAAGCCACUUUCGUAGCAUCCCUUUCAUGUGCCCGAAAUUCAGCGAUCUCCUGAGGAGUUGCAGUGGACUCAUCAAUCUCCUUAAGCUCCUUGUCAAGGACAUAUUCUUUGUCCUCGUAGCGGGUAAUCAUCCUGAUGUUUCUGAUCCACUCAUUGAAGUUGGAUCCAUCAAAGGUGACUUUCCCACACAAGUUCAUAAGGGUAAAGGAGCCAUUAGGAUUAGAGCCAGAAGCAUUGUUGAAAGACAUCUGAAGGAAAGAGGACAAGAUUAGUUUAGAUAUAAGAGAGUCCUUAAUAAAACACCCAAAUGUAAUAUUAAGGCUAGGAUCCAAUCACAAUAUAAUAUAACUUAGAAGAGGUAUGCCGUAAUCUAAGCUAUAUCAUAUUUGAAAGGUAGGUGAAUGACGAUUCACCAAUUUCCACCACGAAAACCGCAAUAUUUUAGUAUUAGGUUUUUGAAUGGUUCUUAGAAAUUCCUAGAUUCUUUGAGAUUCAAUGAACUUUUCAAAGGCAUGUUUCAAUCUCGAGUGUGCCCUCCAAGUUUUGUGACUGGGAUACCGAGGAUCACAAAACGAGGUGUGAAGUAACCAUGCAAAUCACUUGGUACCCUUAAAGUUUAUCACUCAAUCGAUGUGCCGGUUAACCACACACGCUCCAUCGAUACUAUAAUAAACCCUAAGUCACCCUUUACCUACCUUGUUAAGUCCAAGUUAGUGUGCCGGUUAACCACACACGCUCCACCAACGACUUAAUCAAAGUGUAAAGUGUAAUUUCAUGGAAUAGCACCUUAUUCACAUUUUUCCUAAAGUAACUAAGAUUGGGAAUUUAAUAAAACAUUUAGUUACUUUAUAAUAUUCAUCAUACUUUGAAUGAGAAUUAAUAAGUCCUUGUCUUACCCGUUCGGCUAACGACCCUCCACCGAUCAAGCAAGCGGUGGGUGAGAGUGGACACCCAUUAAGUCACCAUUUUAUAGGCAACAACCUUAUACCCACCUUAUAGACCGGCUUCGUGAAUGAGGCGUACUAGCGGUAAGACGACUUUGUUCUUAUACAUAUAUAUAUAAUUAUUAAAUCAUAAUAAUAUAAGUAUAAGGGUUGAAUUUUAACUUUUAAAAUUCUAGGGGUUGGAACUAAAGUUUUAACUUAACUUUACUUGUUCCAAAACUUGAGGGCAAGUUUUGUAAACUUUCAAAACUUUUCAUUUCUUGUAACUUAUGAGUUUAAUAGAGUAAUAAAAUGAGGACUUUUCAUUUUUCCUAACUCUUGUGUUCUUUUAAUGGUUUUUAAUCCAAGAGACUUUUGGUUUUCCAUAACUUGAGGACAAGUUAUGGACUCCAUUAAAACACAUUAUGAUCAUGAAUUAAUCUACCACAUAGGUUACAAAUAAUUCCUAUGAUCAUCUAAACAUCAUAAGAACAAGAAUAUGAAUAUGAACACUUUCAAGAAUCAAAAUCACAUUUAAUCUUUGUAAUUUUGAUAACUAGUUGUUGUAAAUGAGUUAGAAAAGACAUUACACCUUCUAAAAUAAGUUUUCAAGUACCAAAACAUUUUAGGGUAAUGAUUCUAAUCCAUUUCCAGCAACUCAAGUCGAAAUUCUGCACUCUGUCGACCCUACUCGCCGAGUGCAUAAACCUACUCGCCGAGUAGGUUGAAGAUACACAUGAACUCGACGAGUCCUCCCCAUGGACUCGCCGAGUCCAUCAGUCAGACAGCAAGAUUUUCGACUUUCUUCAACUUUUAAGCACAAAUAACAAACAAACAAGCCUAGGCUCUGAUACCACUGAUGGGUUUUGAGCAUUCUAACACUUCCUAAGUGUACAUGCAACCCUAAUAACCUUGGAUCUAUGUUUGUCUAAUUAUCAUGCAAAGUUGAAUUCCAAGGUUAUAUUCCUAUCUAGCAUACAUGGGGAACAAUUUUAACUUGAAUCAUAGAUAGAAUAACUUACCUUGUUGUUGCUUGUGUUCCUUGAAACCUUGUGAGCCUAGCACCCCAAGUGUGAUGCCUCAAAUGCUUCACACAACACCAAAUGCUCUUGGAAAGACUCUUGAGAUAACACACACUUCUCAAAAUCGGCCAAGCCCUCUAGUUUCUUAGUGUAGCCGAUUUUGGUGGAGAAUAUGAUUCUUAUAUAGUGUUGACACAUCUAGGGUUACACCAUGUAAACCCUAAUGUGUCAUGACUCUUCAUUUCCAUGACCCAUGGGUUUGUAACUCCCAUGGAGCAUCCAUGGAGCAUCCUAUGGGUAGAACCCAACUUGAUAAUCCAUGGAGCCUCUUAGCCCACUAUACAAGAUAUGGAUGAUUUACAUAAUCAACCCAUAUAUUUAAUUAGUUAUCCUUUGAUCACUUAAUUAAUUCCAAAUUAAUUCUUUGAUCAACUAAUCAAAUAAUAUUAUUAAUAUAUUAGAACUUAUAAUAUAUUAAUAAUCUCCAAGUGUUAUUUCUCUCAUUUAGUCUAUCCAAUUGCAUGGUGCCAUGCAACCCAAAUGGACCAUGCCGGGUCGGGUCAAGUACAAGCCCGAAAUAGUUAUGGACUUAGACACCUUAUCCAACAGUCUCCCACUUGGAUAAGUCUAAUAACUAUAUCUCUAGUACUUCAGGAACCGACCGGCAAUCGUAGCUCUUUCAAGGUCUCUCGGAACUGAGAAGAUGAUGGUACGCCAUUUAAGAUAAGUGAUCAUAUAAUCCUC
rnacentral:lncRNA from 1 species